rnacentral:rRNA from 1 species
UACAGAGGUCCCGAGCGUUGUUCGGAUUCACUGGGCGUAAAGGGUGCGUAGGUGGCAUGGUAAGUUUGAUGUGAAAGCUCAGGGCUUAACCCUGAAAUGGCAUUGAAUACUAUCGUGCUGGAGGUUUGGAGGGGGGACUGGAAUUCUUGGUGUAGCAGUGAAAUGCGUAGAUAUCAAGAGGAACACCAGUGGCGAAGGCGAGUCCCUGGACAACACCUGACACUGAGGCACGAAAGCUAGGGGAGCAAACAGG